rnacentral:rRNA from 1 species
UCUCCUGGAAAACGGGUGGUAAUGCCGGAUGCUCCAGUUGAUCGCAUGGUCUUCUGGGAAAGCUUUCGCGGUAUGGGAUGGGGUCGCGUCCUAUCAGCUUGACGGCGGGGUAACGGCCCACCGUGGCUUCGACGGGUAGCCGGCCUGAGAGGGCGACCGGCCACAUUGGGACUGAGAUACGGCCCAGACUCCUACGGGAGGCAGCAGUGGGGAAUAUUGCACAAUGGGCGCAAGCCUGAUGCAGCGACGCCGCGUGAGGGAUGGAGGCCUUCGGGUUGUAAACCUCUUUUAUCGGGGAGCAAGCGAGAGUGAGUUUACCCGUUGAAUAAGCACCGGCUAACUACGUGCCAGCAGCCGCGGUAAUACGUAGGGUGCAAGCGUUAUCCGGAAUUAUUGGGCGUAAAGGGCUCGUAGGCGGUUCGUCGCGUCCGGUGUGAAAGUCCAUCGCUUAACGGUGGAUCCGCGCCGGGUACGGGCGGGCUUGAGUGCGGUAGGGGAGACUGGAAUUCCCGGUGUAACGGUGGAAUGUGUAGAUAUCGGAAAAAAACACCA